AUCUGGUACAUCAACGAUCACAGUAGUACUUAUAUGAGCUGAGAGAUCUCAUAUGCAUUCUGGGACUUCAACUUGUAAUUAGUUUUAUUAAUUAACUAAUUACAUAUCUCUUACUUGACAUAAACGGAGUGACUUCAACUCAACUUUUAGCAGAUUAUGGAAUCAUGAGUAUGUUCUAAUCACAUUAGCAAGUCAUGUAUAGAAUUGUUACCGGUGGCAUGAUGAACUUGUCAGUGAGCAAGCAGAUGGCAGGAAGAAUACAGUAUGCAAGUAGAGGAAGGGAGGUGAAGGGGUAGACAGUGGUGUUCACGUAGGCAAAUCUCUCGAGCCACUUGAGUUUGUUCCCACCCUUGUAGCCAUACCAUGCAGGGCAAUGAGGACUGAAGAAGAUCUCAAUUGAACCCAGCGCCCAACGAAGCACCUGGUUGAGCCGAUCUGACAAGUUGAUUGGAGCUGUACCCUUGAAUGCAGGUCUCCUUGGCAUGCAGUAAAUCGACCUCCAACCCCGGCAAUGCAUCUUGAAACCUGUAAGGAUAUCCUCGGUAAUAGAUCCAUAGAUCCAACCCAGCUGCACAAGAUAAAGGCAAGAACAUAGAUGAUCAGUUGAAGUCCUUGAUAAUUUUAUCACAAUAUCUAAUGCCUCCCCAUUAUAAGAUGUUGAUAUCAUAUGGAGGAUGAGUUAACCUCAAGCUGUUAAGGCCUGUUAUGUCUAAAGGAAGUAUUGUUAGUAUUACCUCAGUUCCCCAUUCUGUUUUAUCCUCAUAGCCACAGCUUAUGACAUGAAUUGCUUCUUUGAGCAAAGCUGCUGGGCUUGAGGAAGGAGGCACACCACCUUCUUCCAUCAAAGUUGAGGUCACAAAAAUAGAUGAUUGCCCAAAUCUCUUUUCAAAAUUCAUCUGAGACAUCAGCAACUCUUUAUCUUCUUCCAUCCCUGCUGAAGCAAAUCACAGAGAAAUAAGAAUAGCUAUAUAUGGAAAUCAAACUUAGUACCUAUAAUACAAGUGAUUGGGAUUUGUAAGAACCUUGUUGUAGCAUUGCAGACUCUGCAUUUGCGCCAUCCUUAGCAUCCUUUUGCUUCCUUCGGCGUCCAAAACAUGGGCAACAAUCACAGCUUACCAUCUUGGGGCGUUUAGGACCCUUUGGAGGGUUGUAUCCGUAUAAAGCUUGCCUCCUGAACACACAUCCUGUCCCCACGUACACAGGACCCUGAAUACCAUCUAGACCCUUCAUGUUAAUCUGCAUAGAAACACAAAUAAGGGGGAUUGAUCAACUUUAAGGUUCCGAAAAAUCAAACUAGGAAACAUGGAUUACACAACAGAGAUACAGACACAAACUCAAACACAUUAGAUCACUAGGAAGAUGGUAUGUUUAUCAGACCAGUUCAUUAAACAAGUCAAAUUUGAAUUUACUAGUAUCAUGCAACUGUAUGUGAUAGAAGAACACAACUUUUCUGGCAAGUGUGAUUGGUUCCUAAGAAUUAAAUUCAAGGAAGAGAUAACUUAGGCAUUGGAUUUGUGAUGGCUGAACUGACUUACAUCAAAGAAAACUGUGUUCCUGUUGGCAUAACGAUCGUUCCUGUCAAUGCCAUCAAAUCUCUGAGGAAAUUGGACGUAGCAGACUUUCUUUCCAGUUUGAGGGUCCAUCAAGAAGCACAUGGCCUCUCGGACGGCCUUGCUAUUAUUAACAUAGUGAUCACAAUCCAAGUUGAGCAUGAAAGGGGCAUUUGUAAGCACAGCAGACACCCGAACCUGGAACACUCCAAAAGUUAAUUAAUCAAUGGCAUAAUCAAAUUGAAGCUAAA